UGACGUAUUAAUUCAUUUCCGGUUCAGCGGGCGUCUUGUGUAUCUCCAGAUACGUAUUAUUUGGCUUGUUAUUUUGUUCUUCAUAUUUGGUUACUCUCUGCUACAAUGCGGUUCCAGAAAGACCUAUGUGACAAGUGACCUGUACAACCCAAUAAUUUAUUUCGGUGUUUUGCGACUUCAUGACACGAUAGCUUAGCAAUUAGCAUCAUGCUUUUCCGUCUUUGUCUAACCACUCCUCGCCCUCCGUGAUAACGUAAUAGCGUAGCCCCAACCAGCUUUUCCCCUCUCUUUUCGUCACGGCGGACGGACAAAGCGUCGUACUGGAUUUUUAUUUCUACUGUAAAGGGCAAGAGCAUAGCUUAAAGUACUCCGGCGUAGUGCCAGAAAUCUGGUGGAUGUUUAUUUAUUUAUUAUUAUUAUUAUAAUUUUUUGUUUUUUACAAAACUCGCCCUAUAUAUCUCAGUCGGAAAAAGGGUCACGUGACAUGCGAGCGAGCGUGGCAGAUAGCAGUGUACAGUACGUGCGCUAUAAUAACAUCUAGCGUAUGGUUUGUAAUUGUGUGGUCAUCUUAUAUUUCCCUCUCGCCGCUACUGAGGGGUAGUUCAGUUCAGCUCACUGCAGGCUCGUAAGACACGCUCACAGGCAUUCACAUGCGGGGAGCUGAACAGCCACCAGCCCUCACAAUCGUUCGAUAAAGAAAAGGCUGCAGGCUUGGUGAGUCUGUCUGUAUGCAGCCCGCAUCAGUUAAACAUAACCGCGAGAUACGUUUGAAGUGCCAAUAAUCCUCCUGCAGCUACCUGGGCCGCCAGCUGGCCCGCUAGGUGGCUUCUUAAUCAAAGCACAAGCUGAGGGAUCCACUGGACCACAGCGGUGUCACAGUUUGGUUAUGUGGGCUGGCUAAGCACAGUGGUGUGAUCCAAGGUAAACCCAGUUGAACCGGUCCUUUCACGUCCACAUGAACUCAAGUACUUUUGUGUAAAACUAUAAAUAACCAGGUAAUUUUUUUCAUCAGCUGGUUAUCAGUUCAUAAAGUAUUGAUUUAUAUGAUCAUAUAUUGGGAUAGGCUCCAGCACGCACGUGACCCUAGUGAGGAUAAGCGCUUUGGAAAAUGGAUGAAUGAAUAUUGGUUUUCCAUUCAUAAACUGAUUAUCUGUUUGCAGUAAGCAACCCCCCCCCCCCCCCCGAUUAAUGGUGUAUGUUAUAGUAUGUUCAACAAGCUAUAGUACCACCCUCAAAGUUAACACUUAAAAAUCAUGGGACAGAAGCAAGGUAUCACAUUGCGGAUUACAUUGUACAGCAUGGGAAACCGGAUGUAUGUAGGUACGUUGGAAAUGUUUUUGUAGUUCGUGUCCUAAUUUAACCCUGCGUAAUGGCACACUCGCAGAGAAGAAAAAUUCAAUCUGGCACUCCAUGUCACAAAGGUUGCCGACCCCUGCUAUAGAUGUUUUCUAUAAUUGUGACGUGAUAGUGGUGGUAUUAAGUGUAUUAGGUUGGCUAAGUCCCUACUGAAGACUCAGGUACCAAAUGCAUGGCCUGCCGCUGGUCAGCCACAGCAGCUCGUACAUCGGGCUGGAUGCCUCUCACGCACAGCUGCAUCAGCCACAGCACUGUGACGAAGGUCCCCGAUCGGCCUACGCCUGCACUGAUAUACAACGGUGAAUGAGUACAAGCCUCUGGAUGGCACAGGAGUUCAUCAUUCCAGCAUGACUAGAUAGGCAGAGGUCAGACCUGCAGUGCACAACAGUCGGCCCCAAAUGUGGAAUGGCUUCCAAAUGCUGCCGCACGUGAUCUGAGAAAGUACUGAGUGAGGACGGGUCUUUAGGGAUGCCCCGGUCUGGCCAGGAUGGAUAGUGAUAGUGUGUUAUGAUCCGAUCUGUAGGACAGUCUCUCUGAAACACAUAGCACCAGCGUUUAAUCUAACGUAAACGUUUUGAGUCAUCACCUUGGCGGGAGGCGCGCACCUCUGUCAACACUGGUGAUUUAAAUUUAGCAAAAGGGAAGACACAUUUUUCAUACCUGUCUGAGGUUAAUGGUGGAGAUAAAAUAGUCUGGGCCUUGUUUCCGAGCCAUUGUUGUUACUUGGAAAGGUCCGUGAUAAACUGUUCCUGGUUGCAGAGACCAAUACUCAUCACAUAGUACCUGCACCCAUAGAAACAUUUGACUUGAUCAUACAUUACAUGAAUAGUUUGCCCAACUGUUGGAUUAUGUACACUGCCUGGCUAGAAAUUCAACAUUAGGUUGGAUGAUAGCUGCAAUGAUUACCAUCAAUUAAGACUAAUGAAUGCAGUCAGUAGUUUCUCAUUGGUUUAACUUUAAGACAUGAGAAGAUGUAACAGUGGAAAAGAUAGGGGAGCCCUUCAAUGUACCUGUAUAGGGCAAGGAGACAUAUUUGGUAGCCUAAACCAGAACCUAAUUACCAACAACUGUGCUGAAACACUGCAUACUGUGAGAAAUGACCCCAUUUCAUUUCACUGGUAAGAAAAUAAUUAUUGACUACAUUUUCCUCUAUUUAUGCCACCAAUGCAUAGUGACUUCCAGAACAAUUACAUGCUCCUCCACCAGAUGGCAGAAGGGCAAUUAACCCCUAACCAACUGGUGUUAUUCAUAUAACAGAAUAAUAGCUUUGUGUUCAACUAAACUGACCCAGAC